UAUUAAAAAUUUCAUCCAUUUUUACAGUUAAAAACUAGUGUGAGUGACGAAAUAACUAGACAACUACACGUGUACCUCAUGUUAACAUAUAAGGAUCAGUUUUAAAUAGUAAAAAUGGAUGAAAUUUUUAACA
rfam:Gossypium arboreum cultivar AKA8401 contig_553_7, whole genome shotgun sequence.